AGCGCGAGCGGCUUGUUUCAGACGUCUGCCCUUUUCCGUUCUGUCCGGAGGCUGGAAAGCAGACGCGGGAGCAAUGCCGCUUCCACUGUGUUCCGUGUGGACAGGAGUCUAGGGGAGUCAGCCACGGCCUGUCAGGGGCCUAGGCUUUCUGCGAGGCCUGCGCUCUCUGAACGGGACCGAGUGUCGCUCACGAUGGAAAUGCAACAAGGGCUCCUGACAAGUCCACGUGGCUCCUCUCGCCAGUGAGGCCGUGGACCACUGCAGCUGGAGGAAGAGGCCAUGGGCCCAGAAAUGCAGGCGCCUCCAGAAGCUGGAAAAGACAAGAAAACAGUCGUCCCCCGGGCCUCCAGAAGGAACACAGCCCAGCGACUCCAGUCUCAGCAGACGUCCAAAACUAGCCUCGGGAGCCCCGAGACACAAGGGUGCAGGACGAGGGAAGAGAGCGAUCGGCCGUCGGCCCCCCAGAGGCCCGCGUGAAACUGCCGAGCCAGCAGAGCCGCGCGUCGGACCCCUGGAACCGAGGUACGUCGACCCUUCGUCGGCAGUAGGCGGGCUUCGGACACGGGGUCCGGGGCCCACAUGGGUGGGGUCUCCGCGGCGAGA